CCACUAUUGCAGCAAGCCCUUUAAUUGAAAAAAGCCCAAAAGAAAUAAUCAAACCAUAAUAAGUCCAAAAUUUGGUUUGUUUCGGACUUUCUAUGAAUGUCCGAAAUUGUGACAAACGUAUAUCCCAUGGAUGUCCAUUAAAGAACUUUCUAUGAACAAAGUUGUGUUAAACGUAUAUCCUAUGGACGUCCAUCGAAUGUCCGACGGACCUUAUUUGGACUCUUAAUGGAUGUCCGAAUGUCCAGAAGCGGAUAUCCAUUGGACAUACAAUGGAUGUCCUUGUGCUAUCUGGGUAUGGACACGGUAUCCAAACAGCACAAUGAUGUCCAUAGAACAUCCAAAGUGUCCAGGACGUAGAUGCAGAAUAUCCUGAGGACAUCCCAUUUUAAUCCUAGAAUUUCCUCUGGACAUCCCGAGGAACAGUGUAUGAGAGCCGUGUAUAAGCCCCUGGAACAUCCAGGGAGAUCCUGUGGAUCAUCUUAAGGAUUUCCACAGGACAUAUUAAGGAUUCUAUAGGAUAUGUUAGAGAUAUUUUUGGAACUUUAAGGACCAAAUUCUGAAAGUGAAAUAUAGAUCAACUACCCAGCAAACACAAAGUUACAUGUAACGUGCUUGUUAGUUGUAAUUUCCCACUCAAUGAUAUAAUUGCAAUAUAACAUACGUACGUUAUAUUACAAUUACAUUGUUGAGUGGGAAAUUACAACUAACAGAUACGUUACAUGUAAAUUGGUGUUUGGUGGGUAAUUAAUAUUUCAAACUAAGUAUGUAAGAUAAACUAAACAUUUAGUACAUAAAAACUUAUACGUUUCGAUAUUCACUGCCAGUACUAAAAAUAUAGUUAACGUCAACGUAUAUUAUAGAUUUUUAGUAUUGGCAGUAAAUAUCUGAACGCAUCCAAAGUGUAAAGCACUGACUCAGUGAGAAAUAAAUGGUUGAAAAGAUGUCGAAUUCUGGCUGCGUUCGGAAACGUCACCCGAGUGCUCUUGGGUAUCAUUCUAUUCUUGUCUCACAUUCAACGAACAAUGAUAAUAUGAUACCCGAGAGCACUCAGAUGAUGUUUCUGAACGCAGUUCUAUCCAAUUGACUUGUUCUUUUUCGUUACACUGCUGCACUGGUGCAGGGUAGAGUAAUUUACUCGUUAUUUUCACCACAUAGUGAAAAUAUCCCAAAAUCAUCCCAAAUGUUCACGUAUAUUCACUAACUAAUAAAUAGCAUAAAAAAUCUUAAAAUCGUCGUAUACAUGUCCAAGAUGUCUUGUGAAGUAUCCCAGGAUGUCCUGAUGAGGAAUUUUGUAGGAUAUACUUAGGACAUCCCUGGGAUGCUCCACAAGACAUCUUGAACAUGUGUACGAUGAUCUUAGAACUUCUUAUGCUAUUCGAAGUUAGUGGAUAUACAAUGGAUAUUUAUGGAAGAUAUUACUCUUUAUACAGUAUUUUAUAUAUCGCACGCUUUAUCCAAAAAACGUCCUAAGAACGUCCUUAGGAGUGCAGACGUCCUCUCAAUGUCCUAUAGACGUCUUUAGAAGAUUUCUGCUGUAUAAGUAACAUUCUGAAAUUACUUCAAGUGUUUUACCAUAAUUAAUGAAGUCAAAUAUACACAAAACCCACCAAACACCAAGUUACAUGUAACGUACCUGUUAGUUGUAAUUUCCCACUCAACAAUGUAAUUGUAAUAUAACACGUGUGUUAUAUUGCAAUUAUGUUAUUGAGUGGGAAAUUACAACUAACAAGCACGUUACAUGUAACUUUGUGUUUGCUGGGAAUAUUCAUAAAACAUUUAUAAUAACGCAAUUAAAUUUCCUGAAAAUGUCCCAGGGCAUCCUGGACAUAGUCAAGAUUAUCCUGAGGAUAUGUCUUGUGCUAUCUGUGCUCCAAUGGGUGAGGGGGCUGUUGAACGUACGGUAAGGGGAGCGAAAAUGCUCUCCUUUUUUAUUCGUUCAGCGUCUCUUUCUACAAGUUGACACCGUCGACAUCAAAGAACGUAACCGAAGAUAUCCGAGCUCUGAAAGUUGCAUUAUAGCUUAUGCAUAAUAAUUUUUCGGAGAUUGCAAAUUGGUUAUUUUGGUUAUUGGGUAAUUGAUAUAUUAAUUGUUUUCGAUCUUCGAAUUCGUAAUUAUUAUAUUCAUUUAAGAAAAGUUGUGUCAUAGUAAAAAUGUCAUCUUGUAUCAUAUUUCGGGCUGCGUUAAUCGUUCUGAUCCGAAAAGAAAACGAGAUACGCAAAUCGAACUGGAGAAUUCUAAAAAUGUUUUGUAUCACAAGUACGUAAUAUUAUUUGAUUUUUAAUAUAUUUUUAUUUAUAAACGUUAUAAAUUAUAUAUUUGUACUUGUAAUUAUAUUUUUUCUACGUUUUUAAGUUGUACAUUGUCAGGAAUAGGUUACGUUUAUACAAAUUCUAGAUUUCCUAAAGAGCCACACAAACGCCAACUUUGGUUGAGAGCUUUAAGACUAGAUAAAUAGAAUCCUCCAAAAACAGCUAUCAUUUGUUGUAGUCAUUUUACAGAAAAUGAUUAUCAGAACUGUUACAUAAGUAACCAAAUAUUAAAGCGUACAGCUGUACCUUCAAUAAAUAUUGAUAUGAAUGUACGUACAUAAUAAUUUGAUUUAAUGUUUUAAUGAAGAAAAUUGAUAUAACUUAUUGUCGCCAAUAAUUAAAGCUAAAGAAUGAGUAGGAUUAUAAGCCGACUAACUGGCAAUGUUUUAUUGUAAAUUACAAUCUCGCAACGUUUCGACCAUGUAAUGGGAUUUGGUCCUUUUCAAGUGUCCUUAUGAACAAUUGUUGUCUUGCAUUAUCAUGUGUAACCGAUUAAUUAACUUGAAAAGAACCAAAUCCCAUUGUCAAAACGUUGUGAGAUUGUGAUUUACAAUAAAACAUUGCCAGUUAGUCGACUUGUAAUCUACUCAUUCUUUGGUUUUAAUUAAGCUUCCAAAUUUGUACAAUAUGAAUACUGUUAGUAGUGACUAUAAAUUUAUUUAAAACACUUAAACUAAAUAAUUAAAUGUAAACAGUUUAUAUUUAUUUCUAAGUAGUCUGUGGCUGUUGUAUCAAAGUACAUAAAAUCUGCAAGCUAAUAAUUACUGCGCUUAUAUAAUUAGAAAAUAAUAUUGACGGAAGGAAAUGGGCAGAGCAACAGAUAAACCAUGUUUUGUAUAAAAAGUAUUUAAUAGUUAACACUCGUAAAAUUCGUUAGGUAUAUAGUAUACAUCCGUUAUUCGUUAAGACGUUCUAGUAACAAGAAAGUAUCCCGUGUGCACUCGUAGGAUGACGCCGAACAAGUGCGUGCAUGUGCGUAGGUCCACUAGGACAGCCACGAAAAACUAGUAAAGGGGAGAGCGGAACAAAACACGCUGUGGGCGUGUAAUACGAACAGUAUUAUUCCAACAAAUAUUAAUAUUUAUUUUAAUUUUUUAGUUAUACGAAAAGAGUACAAUGGCUGCCAGUACAAACUGUACAACUGUAUAUACAAAGUGCAGUAAAUGUACCUGCGAAUGUACCUGCAACUAAUAAAGUACCUAUAUGCAUAUAAGUACUGAUGUAUCCCCAAAUAUUAAUGAGACAUUAACAUCUUCAAAAUCUUCAAUUACGGAACCAGUCAAUACUUUUCAUAUCUCAAUAGAUUCCUGGAUUUCUGUUUCACUGGAGAAAUUAUUUAAUUCCCCGAGAAAAAAAUUCGAGAAGCGCAUAAGCGAGAAAUAAAAUUAGUUCGCCGACAACUGUACCGUUCUAGACAACAAAAUUUGCAGUACAAGAAACAAAUUCAAAAUCUUAAUGAAAUUUUACAAUCUUUAAAACAGAAGAACUUGUUGCCAUCUGAAGAAUUGGAGAAAAUUUCAGUGAGUGGAAUAAAAAUUUAUUAAAUCUACAAAUCCAUAAAAUAAAAAAAUUGAAAGUACCUCGUCUAUAUGCACCUGAAUUGCGUCGUUUUGCUGCAAAACAUAAAUAACAAAAAAAAAACAAAUGUAAUAAAUAUAUAUUUCCAUUUCUAUUUAUUAUAUUUCAUUUAUUUAAUUAUCUUUUAAUCUUAACUAUUAUAUUCAAUAAUUUUCUAUCUAUCCAUCUGUUUAUCAUUUGUUUAUCAAUUAUCCAACCAUCUAAUUUUAAAUUAUAAGUUAAUACAGAGACAGAGAAAGAAAGAGAAAUAAUUCAAAUAAAAAUUCAAUUUAAAAUAAUACAUUUUGAUAGUUCGCGUACUUUACGUAUUUAAUGGAACAUAAAUUUUAUCAAAAAAAAAAUUUAAGAGAAGGAAAAAGAUUAAAGAUAGAGAGAUUGAUUGAUUGAUAACAGUAUAUUUAGCCGUAGAAUAUAAGCCUGUGCGGCUCCCAAUAACAUGGUGACUGAUACAUUUGUAAUAGUAGUACAAUUGAAAAGAAUACAGAAAAUCAGUAAGAUCGUAAAGCAUAGCGAAGUGAUGUGAAACGGAAGUUAACUACAAAGAGAAUUAACUACAAAGCAACAUAAGUAUGAUG